GUGGCCGCCGGCCACUUCAGGUUUCAGGAGCACCCUUCAUAAUAACACCAGAAAUUCAGUAUGAUAAAGUGAAGUAAAAAACAAUUGUAUACAAAUCAUUUAAAAGUUUCAGCAAUGGAUAUGAAGGUUCCAAAAUGGAAUAAGAACGCAGAGAAACAUGAUAAGUAAAUCGAAGAGUAGAAUUACGCGAAUCACAGAGUCUGGAACGCACAAGAGUACCCCUGGUAUUCCGGGGGGCCAAACCCACGAGUGUCAUUGGUGUACGUCAAGCACGUCGCAUGUGUUGGGUUAUUACACCCUGCACGGGGAAGAUGGGCGAUAAAGGCAGCGGCGGCACCGCGUCCGAUCCUCGAGGGUAUCGGGAUUUUCUCCCGGUUUGUAGCACCAAGUGAAGCACAAGAAAUCAACCGCUACUUCACAGGUAGACCUGAA
rnacentral:rRNA from 1 species